UACCAGCACCCCGAGUGGUCGGGACGAUUAUUGGGCCUAAAGCAUCCGUAGCCGGUCAUGCAAGUCUUCCGUUAAAUCCAGCCGCUCAACGGUUGGGCUGCGGAGGAUACUACGUGGCUAGGAGGCGGGAGAGGCGAGCGGUACUCAGUGGGUAGGGGUAAAAUCCUUUGAUCCAUUGAAGACCACCAGUGGCGAAGGCGGCUUGCCAGAACGCGCUCGACGGUGAGGGAUGAAAGCUGGGGGAGCAAACCGG
rnacentral:rRNA from 1 species